rnacentral:rRNA from 1 species
GACGAACCGUGCAAACGUUAUUCGGAAUCACUGGGCAUAAAGGGCGCGUAGGCGGCUUUCUAAGUCAGGGGUGAAAUCCGGCAGCCCAACUGUCGCAGUGCCUUUGAUACUGGAGAGCUCGAGGGAGGUAGGGGUCUGUGGAACUUCCGGUGGAGCGGUGAAAUGCGUUGAUAUCGGAAGGAACGCCGGUGGCGAAAGCGACGGACUGGAUCUCUUCUGACGCUGAGGCGCGAAAGCCAGGGGAGCAAACGGG